rnacentral:rRNA from 1 species
UAGGGAAUAUUGGUCAAUGGGCGCAAGCCUGAACCAGCCAUGCCGCGUGCAGGAUUGAAGGUCCUUAGGAUUGUAAACUGCUUUUAUAUGGGAGCAAUAACUUCUUGCGAGGAGGUAUGAGAGUACCAUAAGAAUAAGCACCGGCUAACUCCGUGCCAGCAGCCGCGGUAAUACGGAGGGUGCAAGCGUUAUCCGGAUUUAUUGGGUUUAAAGGGUACGUAGGCGGCAUUGUAAGUCAGUGGUGAAAGCCAACAGCUUAACUGUUGAACUGCCAUUGAUACUGCUUUGCUUGAGUGUAGUCGAAGUAGGUGGAAUUCCACAUGUAGUGGUGAAAUGCAUAGAUAUGUGGAGGAACGCCGAUAACGAAGGUAGCUUACUAGGCUAUCACUGACGCUGAGGUACGAAAGCGUGGGGAGCAAACGGGAUUAGAUACCCCCGUAGUCC